UGAAAUUGUUUUUCAUAUAAAAGUGAUCAUAGUCAAAUACAUAUAGGCAUAUAGAAGGGGCAUUUUUAAAAUUGUUCCUUCAUUUAACUAUGUUAGGUUGCAUUAUGUCAAAUCAUUGAUAUGCAUUUGCUAGCUGUUUAGGAAAUAUCAAUAUUAAUUAAACAAAAUAAAAAUAAAAAACUAAAAAUAUUAGCUAUGUAUAUCCCUUGGAACAAUAUUAUGUUGUGUGAACUUAACGAUCGUAUUUUAUCGUUACAUCACAAAAGAUGAAAGUUACACAAGGAUUUGAAUACUGGUCCAUCAUAGAUCUACGUUUUAUCUUUUGUAUGAUUAUUAGUAAUUUAGUACAACUAACGCGAUUAAGUGAAUAAAAAAAUUGGAGAUUUUUUUUUUUUUUUUUUUUUUUUUGCAGAUAUUUCUUAAUCAACUAAAUAUUAUAUAUGAUGAUAGUAUGAUACUAUAAGAAGCAAAUCCUCGUGGCACUCAACGACGACAAUGGUCCGAAUGCGUUUUAUAAAAAAAUAAAAAAUUGGCUGACCAAAUUCAAAUGGCAUCACGUCUCUUCUCUCGUUGACGCCUUUGACACGUUGUAUGUUUUGUUUAAUUAGAAGAAGAAAAAAAAGUUACAAUUUUACUUCUUUAUUAACCAAAACUGAGUAUACAAAUUAUUGCGACUGCUAAAAACUAGACUCAAGUUAAGACACUAAACUUGGAAAAUCAAAUAUCUAAAUUUUGGAAAUCUCGGAGAUAUUAACAGUUGUAACUUUGUUCACACGUAUAAUUUGUUUUUUUACAAGAAAAAUACCGUGAUUAAGAAGUAUUGAUGUCUAAUUUUGGAAUAUUAAGAUUUUUUUUUCAUUUUACAGAGUAAUACAAAACAAUUAAUGCAUAAUUAUUUUUUUGGGUCAAAAUCAAAUCAGAUACUUAUUUUUGCUUUUGCCACAAGAAAACAGAAACAACAAACCACUAGUCAAAAAAACCACCCAUGUAUUUCUCCUAGUCUCACUAUAUGUAUAUAAAAAGCUCUGCCCAUUCCCAUUUUGUUUACUCAUCCCAUAAAAUAAGAAAGACUCUCUCACUCACUCACCACUUCACAGUUUUUUCUUUAAUCUCUCCCCAAAUCCCAUUCAGAACUCAAAUCAUUCUCUCUGUUUCUAUGGAUACCAAAAUCGGAUCCAUCGAUGAGUGUAAACCGACGACUGGCGACGUCGGUAGUCCACCGAACGGCGCCGUCGCUACAAUCCACGACUCUGUUCCUCCCUCCGCCAUCUCCGUCAGCUCAUGCGACGCCACUCUCGGUCGUCACUUGGCUCGCCGUCUUGUCCAAGCCGGCGUGACCGAUGUCUUCUCUGUUCCCGGCGAUUUCAACCUCACUUUGCUCGAUCACCUCAUGGCUGAGCCGGAGCUGAACCUGAUCGGUUGCUGUAACGAGCUAAACGCCGGUUACGCUGCCGACGGCUACGCUAGAUCUCGUGGAGUCGGCGCUUGCGUUGUGACCUUUACCGUUGGUGGACUCAGCGUUUUGAACGCGAUCGCUGGUGCGUACAGCGAGAAUCUUCCGCUUAUCUGUAUCGUCGGAGGUCCUAACUCCAACGAUUAUGGUACUAACCGGAUUCUUCAUCACACCAUCGGAUUACCUGAUUUUAGCCAAGAGCUUAGGUGCUUUCAAACCGUCACUUGUUAUCAGGUUACUCAAAAAAAUCAGAUCAGAUCAUUGAAUUUUUGUUUUUCUAUCCAGAAUUCGGAUUGUGAUUUUAUUGUUUGUUUGUCAUCAGGCGGUGGUGAAUAAUUUGGAGGAUGCUCAUGAACAGAUUGAUAAAGCGAUAUCAACAGCUUUGAAAGAGAGCAAGCCUGUGUAUAUUAGCGUGAGCUGUAACUUAGCUGCGAUUCCUCAUCAUACAUUUGCCCGUGAUCCAAUCCCUUUUUCGCUAGCUCCUAGGUAAUUAUUAUUACUCUGAUCAAAUUCCUCUGUUUCUCCGAGUAUCAAAACUCACAAAUGCUUUUCUUUUUAUAUAAGAUUGAGUAACAGCAUGGGUCUAGAGGCUGCGGUAGAAGCAACAUUGGAGUUUUUGAGCAAGGCUGUGAAGCCAGUUAUGGUUGGUGGUCCUAAGUUGCGUGUGGCUAAAGCUUGUGAUGCCUUUGUGGAGCUAGCUGAUGCUUCAGGCUAUGCUAUGGCGGUGAUGCCUUCUGCUAAAGGCUUUGUACCUGAGCACCAUCCGCAUUUCAUUGGCACUUAUUGGGGAGCUGUGAGCACUCCUUUCUGCUCUGAGAUUGUGGAAUCUGCGGAUGCUUACAUUUUUGCAGGUCCAAUCUUCAAUGACUACAGCUCCGUGGGUUACUCGCUUCUCCUCAAGAAAGAAAAAGCCAUCGUUGUGCAUCCUGAUCGAGUCACUGUGGCUAAUGGUCCUACCUUUGGCUGCGUUCUGAUGAGCGAUUUCUUCAGGGAAUUGGCUAAGAGGGUGAAGCGUAACGAGACGGCUUAUGAGAAUUACCAUAGGAUCUUUGUCCCUGAAGGUAAGCCAUUGAAAUGCAAACCAAGAGAGCCAUUGAGAGUCAAUACAAUGUUCCAACACAUUCAGAAGAUGCUCUCUAGUGAAACUGCUGUGAUUGCUGAAACCGGUGAUUCUUGGUUUAAUUGCCAGAAACUAAAGCUGCCAAAAGGAUGUGGGUACGUAUCUCAGAGAAAGACUCAAAUCUUCUUACGUAUUAAAAAAUAGGGAUAUAAGCACAAGAUCUAACUAUUCUUUUCUAAAAUUGUAGGUACGAGUUUCAGAUGCAGUAUGGAUCGAUCGGGUGGUCUGUUGGUGCGACCCUGGGAUACGCACAGGCAGUCCCAGAGAAGCGAGUGUUGGCAUUCAUCGGAGACGGGAGUUUCCAAGUGACGGCUCAGGACAUAUCAACAAUGCUGCGAAAUGGUCAGAAGACGAUCAUCUUCUUGAUUAACAACGGUGGCUACACCAUCGAAGUGGAGAUUCAUGACGGUCCUUAUAAUGUGAUUAAGAACUGGAACUACACUGGUCUCGUUGACGCCAUUCAUAACGGUGAAGGCAACUGCUGGACUUCAAAGGUAAAUAAAACGGUUCAUGAGUGAUGAAAUGAGAAACUAAACCAAAUCUUGGUUCGAAACUAACUAACAUAUGAAUGUGUGUGUUUUGACAGGUAAGACACGAAGAGGAAUUAGUUGAGGCGAUAAAGACAGCGACCACGGAGAAGAAAGAUUGUCUCUGCUUCAUUGAAGUGAUUCUUCAUAAGGAUGAUACGAGCAAAGAGCUCCUUGAAUGGGGCUCACGCGUCUCUGCUGCCAAUAGCCGUCCUCCCAAUCCUCAGUAGGAAGGAAGGAAGCAACAGUACCAAUCUCAUGACAUUGUUUUCCUACUGCCUUUGUCUUUUUACCGUCGGUUUUAAUUGGAGCUUUUUUUUUAUUUGUAGCUUUUCAGUGGAAUAAAGUAAAGUUCCUUUUCAACUAUUGUGCUCUUUUGUCUUUAAAGUUCGAAUAAACCCAAAUGGUUCAAUCUACAAUUUUAAAUUAGACACAAAAAAUACUUUAUUCGGAGUUGCUUGAUUUUUUACCCAUACUUUUUGGAAUUUUAACUUCUGCAAAGGUCUUGAUAAGAAAAAAAAACUAAGGUCAAGUUUUUUUGCUUGAAACUGAAUCUGAACCAAAACCACAGUAGCCAUCCAACUUGUAACGAUUUCGAUCGACUGAAGAAGUGUCCAAUAUAAACGUUAGUCAAAAGUGCGAAAAACAUAUCUAAGUUUCCUACAAGUAACAAGUAUAUUAACAUAGUUCUGUAUCAUGGGAGCUAGUGACCCUCUUGUUUUAGAAGCUCAUGUCUCUUUCUGUAUCUAAGUGUAAACAGGAGGGAAUUUCACAGAAUCACAGUGAACGGGGAUCUUCAGAAUCAAGAAAACAACAUAAGCAAAAAAAUCGAAUGCUUAAGAUUCCCAAACUCAGUCAAGAGAUUUUCCUGACCAUUCUCGCUCCCUUCGUUUUUGUUUGGCUUGCAUUCUGUUGAACUUUUCUUUUCCUUUUUCAAGAAGAGGGUCGACCACUACAUACGCAUCUGGAUCAUCCCUGCGUGACAUUUUAUCCUGCAGAAUAGUUUCACAUUUUCAGGCUCUUCCACAGGAAAUGAACUUAUUUGUGACUAGCAUGUUCUAUCCCACGAACUACUGGAUUUUUCUAUUUUAAUGUUAACUAAAGAAAUAGAACAACGUAGCACUAUAUCCAUUAGAUCUUCACUCUGAAAAAGAUGGAGCCUUAAAGAUUUACCUUGCCAGGAGCAAACUUGAGCUUUACUUUCUUCCAAUCAGACAGAUCUUCUUCUUUAUUGUCUACUGGUUCACUACUUGAGGCCAAUGCUACUGGUUUACUACUAGAGGUGAAUGGUUUUGCAGAAAUGGACUGCUUAAACUUCUCGAGUUUGGCUAACACCUGAAGAAAGCAAAGGAGCAAAACGAUGAUCAAUUAAAAGAGACAACUGACAGAAUUAAAAUUAGAUGAGUAAAUCCUAGACCCAGAAUUUAAGAAAUUGUCGUCUAAUACUAUUACUCUGACAAUAUUAGAAUUAACCUUUAGGCAAUAAGUAUACCACAAUGAAGCAAGGACAAGGUUUGGCAAAUGAACAAAAGGGAAUAACGAAUCAAUCAGAGAUAAUAAAUUCAAAAGUAAGCCACAACUCUGGUAAACAACUUACAGCAUCCUCAUUUCCUUGCAGUCGGCGCUUUUUCAACUUAUGCAACUGCCGGGCGCGUUCAGAAGCGUUGUAAAGCUGUAAAUCAGUGUCUCCUUUCUCCAUAUGUUCGGCUUUGGCUUCUGAGCCUAUUCCUUUUUUUUUCAAGGAUAACUUUUCCAUCCUCGGUUUCUCGUCUUCACUACUUACGGCAUCAGACCUGUGAAUAGCAUAACUAAUUAGUCAAUGAUUUACAUCACUGGUUACACCAUCAUGAAUAAAAGCAAAACAUAUUCAGGCAUUCGUUCAAAAAAUGCAAAGCAGAUUCGUCUGAAAGGUUAUAAAACCUGGAAGACAAAUGAUACAGAGACGAUAGCGUAUUACUGUGGGUGUCAUUACCUUUGCUUCGAUUCUUCACGGCUUUUCAGACUAGAGCUCUCUGUUAAGAAAACAAUCACAAGUAUAUUAUAAUUAGAACCUACAGAAAUAACUGGAGAAUGGAACAGAGAAAGCUGUAUACUAUUUUCUGGCAGUACUUGGUACCAAACCCAAAAGCAUCAAAUCGGUGUUGAUAACAAGAUAAAACCCCUACGCAUAGACAUGAUUGCUUGAUAUGACUGAAAAUUUGAUUAUGCAAAUCAAGAAGUGCCACAAAAUUAAUAUUUCAGAAAAUCAGAAUAUAGAGAAAUGUAAAAAGUAAUUACUUUUUUUCUGAGUUGGUACUGCAGGCGUAUCUUCCAUCUCCUUCCUCCUGCUGAGCACUUGAUUUCUCAUCUUCGCAUCAAAUUUAGUCUCAUCUUCAUCAUCAUCGUCAUCAUCACUAUGUCCAACUGAAUCAGAUACAGAGAAACUUUUAUCUUUUUGAGCUGCUUCUUUCUUAGUACUCAGAGCUUCUCGUACAGACAAUACCUCCUUCGACUCAGAUGCAUUCUGAAAUUUAAAAAAGGCAUCAGCAAGUCAAAAUUGUUUCUGUAAACAAAAACUGACAACCAUGAAAAUAAAAACCCUUUAGUUUUCAGUCUAAUGCCCAUGAUAGACUGCUAGGCAGACUAGAUAGCAACAAAGAUAAAGAGCUGUAUGCAUCAUUACAUAUAGCAACCAUGAGGAAUGUCCACUAGUUUUCCACAAUCUGGAAGAUAAAAUAAGUCGCCUUAGUUUUUAUAUUGAGCUUAGCCUACACUUUCACACACAAUAAAGGGAAUUUAAAGAUAGGAAAAAUAAAAGCCACAAAACAAGAAAAAUUGUAUAAUUACCCGUUCUCUAUCUGUAGAUUCUGCCUUCAAAAGUCGAGGAUCAUUCAACACGUCAUGACUGCUCUUAAUCUUUUGCUUUACAACAGCCAGUUCCUUCUCUUCUUCCUCAGCUUCUUCUCCAAAUGAAAGUAAAUUCAACUUCCUAAUCAUCACAAAGAUAACCGAAAAGAGUCUCAAAAGAACAGCCAAAGCAAAAUUAUAGCUAAAAUUCUCGGCUGACUGUGAACAGUAUCUUACUUCACGGGCUUUUUUGGGGGUUCCUUGACUUUGGCAACAGAUUCUUGUGAUGUCUUUGCUAACACUCUAGGAACAAUAUCUUCGAACGGGUUCCACAAAACCUAUCAAAAGGAAAAUAUAGGAUUUUCAGAAAAACCAAGUAUCACAAGACUGACACACCAAAAAAUGAGUAUCAAUCAGAGAACAUCAUUAAAAAGAGGACAUCAACAUUGUUGAUGGAACGGCAUAAUAGAUUCAGCAUUCACAAUUCUUACCUCAACAGAUAAUAUUUUCGGGGCAGGAUCCAAGGGACGAUCAUCCUUACUGGUGUCAACCUCUCCUAGCCUUAACAGAUUGUAGAUUGAAUCGCCCGUCACCUAAAAAGAAUUAGAAACAAGUUGCAGCUAAACAUGAUCUAGAAGUAGAAAAUAAUAAUUGGAAAAAUCAGAAGAAGCAAAUUGUUUACCUUGCCAAAGAUAGUAUGCUUCUUGUCAAGCCAAUCACACUUAUCCAAAGUAAAAAAGAACUGACUUCCAUUAGAGUUAGGUGAGCUCGCAUUAGCCAUGGCUACAAUCCCUCGGUGGUUAAAUCUCAGUCUUGAAUGAAACUCAUCGGCAAAGACACCUCCAUAUAUACUAUCUCCACCUGUUACACAUAACUCAAAUCAUCAAUUGACCUAAUCCAGCGAGCAAGCAGAAGAGAAUUGAUAAAAAAAAAAAAAUAGAGGUCUUAAACCCUAAAAAUAAUAAGAGGGAGUAAAAAUUACCGGUGCCGGAGCCGGUGGGAUCGCCGCCUUGAACGAGAAAACCGGGAAUAACACGGUGGAAGAUGGUGUUGUCGAAGUAACCCUCGAGGCAUAGUUGAACGAAGUUCCGUACGGAUUUAGGUGCUUCCUUAGGCCAUAGCUCGACGUCGAUUGGGCCAUGAGUUGUAUUCACAAUGACCUUUCCCUUCGUCGGUGGCUCUAGCACGUACACCGUCGACAUCUCCUCCUCCGUUCACGCUCUUCUUCUUCUGCCCGAGACGCCUUUAUGAUUUCCCGUUUUGUAGAUGGGCUUCGGCGAGAGACGCUGCUCCCUUUUGGACUUUGAGAACAUAACAUAAUAUAUACGCAAGCCUAACCAAUAAGGCCCAUUUUCAACAUCAAAUUGAAGCCCAUUAAACCUCCCAUAGUCUUCUUUUUUUAUCCGUUCGGUCGAAACUCGAAAGGAUCAAAAUUUUGUAGGUUUGGUAGAACAGAACCGUAAGAAGAAUUUCGUAGAAACAUCCGCCACGCAUCUCUAUCACUACGUGGAAGAUCAAGAAAUAAGAGAAAGUCUUCGAGCUUAGAUAGAGUUGAGUGGUACUCUAAUGUUUGGAAUUUAAUAAAUUUCUUUAAAAGUCUCCAAUUUUUCAAAAGUAAUAAAAGAUAGUUUCGAGGAAAGUCAAUAGUAACAACAAACUAAAACAAAUACAAUACAACUACAUGCACUCCAGACAAACGUGCAUGACCCGCCCGCGUCAACAAAACUCACGACAGAUUUUUAUUAGACCAAUCUUUAAAUUAAAUUAAAUGCGUAUGUAUACCAAUUGGCAAUUAUAGUACAUCGAUAACAUUAACAUAUAUCGUUGGUUAUGAACUUGACAUAGAAUAAACAGUCCGUGUGCAUGGUGUGAUACGUACACACACACACACACACAAAAGUAUUUAUUAAAUGACAGGUUUAAUACUAGCAAACUAACAAAUUCUAUGCCCAUCGUUAACGAGCCCUAAAAUCCAAUUUAUGUUAUAAUUAACCAGUAGACCGUAGACAAAUUAGUUAUAAUAAUAUAAUUAUCAAAACUUAUUUUUUCCAUUAGUUUUAUAAAUUUUGGACGUACAACAUAUCCAUGUAAAUAAAACCCAAAAGUAAAUCCUUAUCACGUUUUUAACAAAAUAAAUCUCUUACUAUCUUGUAUGACCUGAAUUGUCUAUUUAAAUAUACGAUGUUGAAUUAUAGAUUGAAAUUUUUAAAGAUAUAUAAAAACUCGAUUGUAUAAAAACUCGAUGUUAAAUUAUAGUCUCAUAAACUCUGCGUCUGAUAAAAAAAUUUAUGUAUUUAUAAACAUUAUUUAUGAUAGACAGGUUUUUGACAAAAGAAAGGACACACUGAAUUGAUUUCAACAUUUCUAAGAUAGAAUAGACAUGUUUAUUAUAGAAUAAUGAUAUUGGACGAUUCGCAUAUUGACAACCUUGACUUCUUUCUUUGAGCCGCUUGACUUUUGGAUGAAGUAUUGCAUGCGCGCCAUAAAUGUAAUUUAAUUAAACCCUAGUUCAAUUCAUUCUAAAUCUUCUUCUUUUUGAUAUAGACUUUGUGUACUUAGUAGUAGUGUAUUUGUGUGUAAAGAUUUAACAGAGGCUUGUUUUCACACAGAUGUUAAAAACCUUAUUGCAACCUUCACAUCUAUAUAUGUCUACAUACUACCGAAGAUUUUUUCACACAAAAGUUAUCAAAAUGUAAAACUUUUUCGUAUAAGUGUUGUAUGUGUAUUGUCCUAAUCUCAAUAACUUCCCUGAACUUUACCUUCGUCAGCCUCCAUCUCUUAUGGGGCUCCCCACCCCCACGUACUCUGUUUUCUAGCUAGCCUCCUCUCACUGUUUUUGUCUCUUUUCUUUAAUAUUCAACAUUUUUUCAUACACGCCAACUUUGAAUAUUCAGUAAUAUUUUUUUCCAUAUUCAACGAUUUGUAAAAACGAAGACUUCUUAUUAUACUCUCUUCUUUAUAGUCUUCGACUCCUCCUCACACUACUCUUACAUAUAUAUAUAUAUAUAGAAGACCACUUCAACCUAUGUUGAUCACAUACAUUCAUAUCCCUCGUUUGAUUCAUUUUUUUCCAAAGAAUAUAUAAAUCAUUCUUUUAUUCUUUAUUCUUUCAAGCUCCUCUCUGUUUUCUUGGUGCCAUUUAUUGUGUUUGAUGCCCACAAGGUAUUUAUUUCUCUAAAUUUUUGUUUUUCACCAAUAAUUAGUUGGUAUAGAGCUAUACUCAUGCGAUUGUUUAAUUUUGUCUUUAGAGAGUUGUCGUUGGUAAAAGUCUGAUACUGAUCUGGAUUGAUGUGUGUGUGUGCAGGGGAUUUCAAUAUUAAAUUUAUAGUUUUUGGAAUUAUCCUUUUCCUUUCAUUAUAUUUGUGUGGCCAUGGGUCUUGAAGUUGGGUGCUUAAGCUUCAAACUCAAAGACGGAGGCUUGACAUCAAGAACCAACAGUUUCAACGCUAUUGGUUCUACGCAUCAGAAUUCUCCUAAGAUCACUAUGGAGCGGUCGUUGAGUUUCAACAGCUGGGAGGUUCCUAAAGAGACCAAGACUGAUUCAGAUUUUGAGGCCUUGGAGACAAAGAAGUCAACUCCUAACACUUUGAAUGGACGAAACUGUGAGAGAAUCCAAAUAAAGAAACCGACAGUUACUCCACCUGAGCCUUUCGUGUUCUUCUCCCCUAGACCGGUCACCGAGCUUGAUGCAGCUGCAACUACCCUACAAAAGGUGUAUAAGAGUUACCGGACAAGAAGGAACCUAGCAGAUUGUGCAGUCGUUGUUGAGGAGCUCUGGUGAGUUACUUGGUUGAUCUUAAUUAGCUUCCUCUUUUUGAUGUCUUUUAAGGAUGUUUACACUAACUCUUAACUGGUAUUGUUUGUAAUGUUGUAGGUGGAAGACUUUGGAUGGUGCAGCUCUGGAUUUGAGCUCUGUGUCUUUCUUUGAAGAAGAAAAACGCGAGACCGCUGUUUCGAAAUGGGCACGAGCUAGAACAAGAGCUGCUAAGGUCUGACAUCAUGAUCUAUCUAUGUUUACUUUUAAGUCAAGGAGUUUUCAGUAGAUCUAUAUAUCUCUUUAUAUUAUAAAAAAAACCAAUGUGGGUUGUCACUGUUUUUAGGUUGGGAAAGGCUUAUCAAAAGAUGAAAAGGCUCAGAAAUUAGCGCUUCAGCACUGGCUAGAAGCUGUAAGUUCCCAUGACUUAUAAUCUUUAUGAGUUUUAAUCAAUGACAAGUAUAUGCUAUGGUUUGUGGAAUAAACAAAUAUAUGGGUUUAGGUGCAAAACACAAGAUCAAAAGUUAUCAGCUCCUUUUUGAUGAUUUGGUUAGAUUCAUAUUCUAACUGUUCCCCUCUUGAAUAUACAGAUUGACCCACGUCAUCGUUAUGGCCACAACUUGCAUUUCUAUUACGAGGUCUGGUCAGAGAGCAAGAGCUCACAGCCAUUCUUUUACUGGUAAGGACUCAGAUCCAAAAUUCCAUCAAUAGAUCUUCCUCUGUUUGAAUCUGUUCUAAACUCUGUUUCCCCUGAUUUGAAACUAAAGGUUGGAUAUAGGAGACGGCAAAGAUGUAAAUCUUGAGAAACACCCAAGAAGUGUUCUGCAAAAACAGUGCAUCAGUUACCUAGGACCUGUGAGUUUUUGUUCUUAAUCUGAUUUGACUCGAUUAACUACUACUUAGCUAGCUCUGCCUUGUUGAUUACUCAUCAACGUCUGUGUUUUUUUCUUUGAAAUCUGCAGAUGGAGAGAGAAGCAUAUGAAGUGAUAGUGGAAGAUGGGAGACUAAUGUAUAAACACAGCAUGACUCUGAUCAAUUCAACAGAGGAAUCCAAGUCGAUUUUUGUACUCAGCACGACUAGAACCUUGUACGUAGGGAUUAAAAAAAAAGGCCGUUUCCAGCAUUCAAGUUUCUUAUCAGGAGGCGCCACUACAGCUGCAGGAAGAUUGGUCGCUCGUGAUGGGAUCCUUGAGGUACUUAGAUUAUCUGUCUUGCUUUCUCCCUCGGGAAUGAAUCUCUUAAUAUGUUAUAUGUAAACUAAAAGGUCUCACUCACCUUUUCUUUUCUCAGGCUAUAUGGCCAUACAGUGGACACUAUCUCCCAACAGAAGACAACUUCAAGGAGUUCAUAAGUUUCUUAGAGGAGCACAAUGUUGAUCUCACGAAUGUUAAGGUAACGAAAUAAAAGAAUCAUAUACAGCAAACAUUCAUCAGCUCUAGGUAUUUAGAGAAUGUUGUAUUCAUGAGACUAAAUUUGAUUUACAGAGAUGCUCUGUGAAUGAGGAGUAUUCGUCAUUCAAAUCCACUGCGGACGAAGAGGAAGGACCAAAAGAGAACUCAGAAGAAGUUGAGAUGCCUACAGAGCAAGAAGAGAGAGCGAGACCAGUGUUUGAUCCUGUAAAGAGACUGUCCUGCAAAUGGACAAGUGGAUAUGGUCCAAGAAUUGGGUGUGUUAGAGAUUACCCAAUGGAGCUGCAAGCACAAGCACUUGAGCAAGUUAGCCUCUCUCCUCGGAGUUCGCCAGCUAAUUCUUAUGGACCAAUUCCAUCUCCGAGGCCUAGUCCUAAAGUGAGAGUGUCUCCACGCUUAGCAUACAUGGGGAUCCCAAGCCCUAGGGCUGUUAAGUGUUGAAAUUUAAAACACACCUUUUAACUUGCGCUCCAAGAAACUGAGAAAGGGUGAGGUUAGAGGAGAAGAGAAACUGACCGACCUCCAUUUUUCUUUCUUUUGUAUUUUUCUCGAAUUUGCAACAUUUUGUUGCUUCUCUUGAUAUAUUCUCUUGUUAGAUCAUAAAACAGUCGACUUGUGGCCCGUUUAGAUCAUUUGGUUCAAUUGAUCGUUUGUAAAGUUUCAAAACGUUAAUUUAUUUUAAUCAAUUGGCGAUUAAAAAAUAACUACAAUUAAUUUCUUUUAAAACAAUAACACUUGUACAAAAAAUUUAGAACCAAAAUUGAUUUCCUUUGUUGUGUAUAGAAUUUUACGUGAUGAGGGAAACAUUUUGAGCCUAUAAUAGAAUAAUUAAGUAAUAAUUAAAUAAUGUACAUUCCCUGUAUUAUCGUAUAUAUUUUUUUUUUUUUACUUUCCCCUUAUUCGUCGACGUCUUUCCUUUGUUUCAUUAAACUACGUUAUGAAGACAAUGUUACUUUCCUUUUAACAAAAAUAAUCACUUUCCCUAAUACAUUUUUCACGCACCUUCCUCGUAUUAUAUAAAUGAAAAGAUGGGAAUGGGAGAGUAACUUGUCUUCGCUAUGGGGUCGGACGUCGCAGGCGGCAUGGAACUACCGUUUGAUGUAGAAAUUGAGAUCUUGCUGAGACUCCCAGUGCAACCUCUGCGUCGAUUAGAACUGGUUUCAAAACAAUGGAGAAGUUUGAUAAGAUGUCGAGAUUUCAUGGAACGGCACUUGGCUCAUCAGAAAUCCAAACACCGUUUCACGAUCCUUGCUAAUGUCAUGGUCAGGGACCAGUUCGCUAGUAAGGUUCCCAGGGAAGCUGGAUUGUUCCGUAACUUCUGUUCAUCAGACGGUGAUCCAGGAUUUUCCUAUGUGCGCCUGCUUCAAAAUAACGACCGUGUUGCUCCUGCUCUCUCAUGCGACGGUUUCAUCUGCUGUCCGAGACCAGGUAACAAGUUUCUGUUUAUAAAUCGGGCGACUCGCCAGAUUAUCCAAGCCGAACAACCUCUCUGUCACCGUCCACUGACAUUUGAAAGUCAUGUAACUUUACCCUUCGACAGAGUGCAUCUUAUUUAUCACUACUCGUGUACGUAACAUAUAUAUAUAUAUAUGCAUGCCUUCGUUUUUUUCUUUUCAAAAUAAUUAAAACUGUUGGAGUUGACAUUUAAUUAUCUUACAAUGAUUCAGAAAGAGUUCUAUUUUCAUCUUUAAUAUAGCUAAUUAAUUAAGAUUAAUGUACUUGCAUGCAAUAUUAUUGUCGUAAUGGAGUAUUAUUUAAUUCUUAUAUGCAGUUAAUCGUCUUCAGUUUCCUAUACCGUCACUACAAAAAACUAGGGCUACUAUGACGUAAUUUUAGACGAAAAUUAUUUGUCACUAGUUUGGGACGAUUUAGUAACGAAGUUGUGACUAUAUUGUUUUGUCACAUAAUUGUAGGUAAUUUGUCGCAAAAUUAUGACUGAUUAGAUCAUGACUAAAUUUUGUAACAAUUUGUAACAUAAAUAUGACGAUAAUUUAUAUCGUAAAAUUAAGUCAAUUUGUUACUAGUGUGUAGUUGUUAAUUAGAUACGGACUUAUGACUAACCUGUGAGUUAGAGUUUGUGACAGUAUACAUACUAAAUGGUUGUCACAAUUUAGAGGAAAAGUAUUGCUUACUGAAAAUUUAGAUUUUACUCCGAUGCAAAGUGAAACAGCUGAUCCAAUUGUUUCCGAUGAUUCGUUACAAGUCGAGACACUGGCACAUCUUCAUGGUGAAGCAGAACAUCUUCAUGAUAUGGAAGUUGACACGGAAGUCGGAUCAGACAACGAAGAUGGAGAUUCAAAUAUCGAUAUAACAGAUGAAGAAUCUGACUAGUUUUAUAGUUUGGUUUUAAUUUAUUUUAUGUCGUGUUCGUACGUCUGGACUUUGUGAGCACAUUGUUGCUCCUUCCUUAAGACUUUGUGAGCACAUUAUUGCUCCUUCCUUAAGACUUUGUGGUUUCUGUUUCUGGUUCAGUAAAGCCUCUCCUCUUUUUUUAGGUCCGAACCCUUUUCUUAAUCCGUCUGAAAGAUCCAAAUUUUACCUCUUUCUGUUCUUUCUAAAGUAACAUGAUGUCCUGUGUAAGACGUUAAUAUUUUAUGAUACACCACUCUUCCACCUCCUGCAUAUUGAGUUCUCUUGAACGUAGGAACUAAAAAGUUAAAACUUGUCUUCGUUCCAAAGCUAAAGGUAAAACAACGUUGUUUUUCCACAAGCACCAAUUUUAGAUAUUUUAAACUUUAUUGUGUCCCCUUUUUGUUUUUCCUUUUUGGCAAACACCACAAUGUACAAACAAACGAUUAAACAAAUUAAAUUCUUUGAAGUGGUUGAUCACCUGCAACUUUUUUCAAAGGCAUUACAAAAUAUAUUAAAUAAUGACAACUCUAGUUAAAAUAUUAGGAAAUUAAGAAGCCUUGUUGAUGUGUAUACAUCGUAUACACAAAUUAUUGACUAAAACAGAGUAAGAACAAUUUAGUGUUUGAAUGAGUUGGUAAAUCUAACCAAAAACGCAUAACUAAAAAAAAAUUCUUAAAGCUUCACGAAAUCAUUUCUUAAAAUAUUUGGGAAGAUAAAUCUCAGCAUCUCCCGUUUAACUUCUUCUAUUGUAUGUUUAGCAUCUCCAUCGUCGUAAUACCGGGUGUUCAUCAGAUCGAAACUACGAGUGGUGCUUGAAGUUAAAUGCUUCUUUUCUUUUCCUUUCGUUACUUCAUUGGGAUGAACCUCAUCUUCCUCAUAAUACGGUUUGUUUAGAUCAAAUUUGUGAGGAUUUGUCUUGCUGAUGGGAUGAACAUCCUGUGAUUUGCUUUCACUUUGUUGCAUUUUAGGUUUCAGAUUUUUGUUCUAUGAAAAAAUUUGAUUGCGUAGAUAUUUAAUGAAUCUAUAAGAUGAAAAGUUAACAAACUAACGAUGGAGUAGCUUUAGGUUUAUAUAAUAUGUUGACCAAAAUCUUUUAGAUUAUUGUUAGAUUAAAAUAUUGCAAGCAAAAGUUAGAUUAUAUUAUCAAUCACUAAGAUUUUUAUUAAAGUCGAGAGCUAUAUUUUCUUAAUAACAGUCAAGAUACGUAGGUGUUAAUUCUAUAUGAUGACUAAGGGGGUGUUAUUGGAUUAAGGAUUUUGUAGUUUUUUAAUGUAUUUGUAUUUGAAGUACUUUUUGAUGGAUUACGAUGGAUUUAAUAUAUUUUAGGAAGAUUUCGUUGUAUUUCAUUGUAUUGUUUUUUUUCCUUUGGAUAUCCUAAAAAGAAAAACAAUAUAGAUGAACAAAAUCAACAAAAAAAAAAAAUAUUAACUGCUUUAUCAUCUUUGUUUCAAAAUUUUUUUUUUUUUAUUGAGUUUGUCGAAUCUGUUUUCAAAAUAGUAUUUUGCUUUUAAAAACUCAAUUGCUGAGAAAUGCAAAUUUUCACAAAUUGCACAUGAAGAAAAACGAUUUUUCAUCCAUAAUUCUCUGGAUAAAUCCCAAAAAUUAAUUCAAACGGUGAAAUCUCAUGUGAUGGUGGUGUGGGUUUGCUGGGGAGGAUAAUAGUUCUACUUGAUGCCAAUGGAUUCUCAAGAAAUUGAGUAGAAUGAGUUGGGGGGUUUGAGAUCUCUUAACUCUCUCGUUUGAGCCUUGGAGAAGUGGUUGAAGGUUUCAGUGGAAGUGAUGAUAAUGGUGGAGAAGAUGGUUAACGUGAUCUGAAAAAAUGCUUUUUCAUUUAUUUAUUAUUUUAUAUGGAAUACAUCAAAAUACUUAUCAAAACUCUCGGAUUUUAGUUACUCAUGCUUUAGUUAAAAAAGUACAUUAAAAUCCACUUGAAAUGAAAUCCAUCAAAAUCUAAUAGAAAUUGAAUAACACCUGAUUUUAAAGUAUUUUUUAAAAUACACGAUUGAAUAACACCUGAUUUUAUAAUACAUCCAAUUCUUUUAAAAUCCUUAAUCCAAUAACACCCCCUAAGCCACUAUUAUAGGAAUUUAGUUUUUAGGUGACGUAAAUAAAUAGUUGGACGCUGGAAUUUAUUUGAGAAGAUAUAGAUUUAGUAAAUUGCGGUAAAAUUACCCGGUAAAAAACAUAAAAAUUUUUGGUAGUGACUAAAUGAGAUUGCAAAAACGUCACAAAUACCCUAGAAAUUAUUUAAGUAUAUAAAGCGUCAAAACUAACAAACCUCCUCUCACGUUUUACCCUAAAAAUAGAUCACCGCAAAAGUUGAGGCAUUACUUCCUCUCCCACCAGUUCCUCAUUUUGAUCUCGCCGUUGUCCAGAACGGUGUGGUUUUUAGUGUUUUUCUUCAUUGUCCACUCCACAACUACGAUCAUUCCAAGGUUUGAAUACUAUUGUUAAUUUUUGGGAUUUUGAUUUUGCUUCAAUCGGUUGAUUUCUUAUUCAUGUACAAAAUCUCAUAAACAUACAUAUUUAUAACUACAAUCUAAAUUCUAGAGUAUGCAUAUUUUUUGCUUUUUUAAAUCAGAAACGGAACUGAUUUUGAAGGUCCAUAAUUUACACGAUUCUAUGAUUCUAACUCAAUAGGUUGAUAAUCUAACAUUCAAUAUUGAUGUACAUGUCAAUAUUUGCUGUCUGAUAGAAGUCUUACUUUAUAGUUUAAUGUGCAAAGUUAGAUAAACAGAAGCCACAAUAUUAUUUUAUUGAUAUACGACACAAUAUUAUCUUAUUGACUGUUUGUUUAUUUUGAAAGUUAUGACUAGAUACUAUACCAUUUAUUGAAAAUAAUUUAAUGUCCAAACUUAGAUGAACGGAAGAUCAGUUUGUAUAAUUUUAUAUUUUUAUAUUGUGGUUAAAUCAUGAAUAAAUCGUGACCCAUCUUAUACUUCUUUCCAAUCGUAGAUGCGUCCACCAGUCAUCAUAGGCGGCCGUCGGUAUGAGAGAGUAACAAAUCCUCAGCCUGCUGGUGUUCAAAGACCUCUUUCUCGUGAUCCAAAUGCUGAACCAAGUGAACAGAGAGAAGAACUUGGACAUGUUCAACGUAAUGUCCGUGUGCUCCACCCAUCUCGAAGGAAUGGAGCUAAAUGGUAAUGAGUUUUUUUUUUCAUAAAUUAUUUUAUUUAAUAAACUAUAAAUGUAAAUAAUUAAAGUACACUUGUAACAGGUUCAAAAACAACACUGAAGUAUCAACACGUAUUAGAAAAAUUAUUGAAGGGUGUUUUAAUGGACCAUGGUACAGCUGGAAAAAAGUUCCAACAUUUUAUAAAGAUGCAUGGUUUUCAACUUUUAAGGUUUGAUCUAAUUGUAUAUCUAUAUCAUAUUUUUAAAAUUUAUUUUUAUAAUUUAUAAAUAUUUAUAAUUUGUAUUCUAGACAUGGUUUGAGUGGGAUAGUUCAAUUGAUCAUCUAGUGAAAGCAAACUUUGAGGCACUUGCUGGUGCACGCCUUAGAGGGAUGUUUAGCCUUGCAAAGUCAAAAGGUGAACAACCUGAAUGGAUUUUAGGUGAUCAUUGGAGAACAAUGGUAGGUCAUUGGAGGACUCCAAAAGCAAAAGAUAAAAGCCAGAAAGCACGUGCUGCUCGGCUAUUUAGCCGUGAUGGUUUAGGUCCACACUGUCACAGAUCUAGAUCACGUUCUUAUGCCAAAGUGCAAGAUACUUUGGUAACCUUUGCUUUUGGCAGUGUUUCUAUUUUAUUUAAAAUUUUGAAAAUGUUAUUAACUAUGCUUAUUUUUUAUAGGAAGCAAACAAUGAAGAUUCAUCCUUCAUUGCGGUGAUGAAAAAGACACACCAAAAAGCGGAUGGAACAUAUGUUGACGAAAGAGCAAGAGUAAUUGCAGAAAAAUAUGAUGAACAAGUUCAAGAACGCUUGGCAGACAUGGAGCUUUCUAAUCAAGAGAUUUUGACAAUGAAUCCCCUUACCAUAGAGGAGAAAAAUGAAAUCUACAUUCAGCUAAUUUUUUAAUAUCUUACACUUUUUUGUUGUAAAAAUAAUACUUAAUUCCACUGUUUUUUUAGCAGCUUUGAGGGACUUUUUAUUGUCCAAAUGGUUUUAUAUUAAGUACAUUUUGUGUUUUAAAAAUAUGGCAUUGCUCAUGCACUUGUAGGUUGCUGGAAUUUCAAAACAAGGCCGUGUAUUUGGACUUGGUUUGCUUCAAAAUCGGAUUACUAUGUCUGUAGAUGGUGCUGCGGUUCCCACUCAAACUACCGGAGAAGUGGAAACAAUAAGUCUCCGAGUAGAAGAGCUGGAAACUGAACUGCAAAAGAGUCGUAAUGAGAAUGAGCUUGUUCAACAACGACUUCAAACUAUGGAGCAAAUGGUCCAAUCUCUUGUUUGUCAAAAUGGGAUAAAUUCAGUUGCUUCUACAUCUCCACUAUCUCUUGUAGGUCUGAAUGGGAUGAGUUCAGCAUCUGCUUCUAAUCCACCUUCAGGAUACUCGCCUUUAGGAUACUCACCUUCUCCACAAGCUUUCAUGGGUUUUAGGUCCUUUGCUCGUACCACAUAAGUUUACAUUUGUUAUGUUCGCUUCUGUUAUUUCUACAACUUAAGUUUAUUUGCUUCUGCUUUUCUUUCCUUUUUUUUUGUUUUAAAGACAUGUCUACGUUUGCUUUAUUAAGUAAGUUUGUUUCUUUGACUUUUAAUUCUUUAUUUGGAGUUUCUUUUAUUUGUCUAAUAUUUUAAUUUUAUUUAUGAUAGAGAAAACAGUUUAGUAGAGAAUAAUGAUAAAUAGACAACGAAACUGUAAUAAAUAAAUAAUAUUCAAGAUCACGAAGUUGGAAUAUCAGUAACGUCUUUUGUAGUCAUCACUUAUGACGAUGUGAUACUAUAGUUCUGUCUUAAUUCGUGACGUUUGUGUAAUGUUAUAAACGUCGCAAACAGAAACAUUUUUGAGAUGAUGUUAUUAGUUACUAAUUAAGACAUAUAAGUGACCAUUCUUUAGUAGUUUACUGUGAUGAUCGGUGACUACUAAUUUGUUAGAAGUAGUUACAAAAUUGUCACUUUAUGAUAGUAACUAAAUAUGUCAAUUUUAAGACAAUUUUUUUUGUCGAAAUUAAUGACUGUUUUGUAACAAUCACGAUUAGCAACAAAAUGUGACGAAACAGAGACUAUAUAAUCACGUCGUAAUAUUGUGACGGUUUUGAUACUAAUUUUUUUUGGUGACGAAUUUAUUGCAACAGAUUAAAUUUGUCUUAUAUUCGUCUUAAUAUAUAUAUUGUUACGAAACUCUACACAUUGUGACGAUAAUUUUUGUCUCAAUAUAAUGUUUUUUUUGUAGUGCGUGGUUUAGCUUGUUAGGAUUUGGGAGAGACAGAGUGAGCGGAGAUUACAAACUUGUUAGGUUAUUCGAACCGCCUGGGGAGAGUACGCUAUGCACAGGAUGCGAGCUCCUUUCGCUCAAGGAAAGGAAAUGGAGAUACAUUAGCCUUAUUCCUAUACCUUGCUUUAAUGGGCAAGAUUCAGCGAGCGUUAACGGAUCCAUCUAUUGGUUCACGGCUUAUCUAUGGGAAACGGAUGCAAAGUAUUCGAAAACGGCCAAGAUUAUAGCAUUUGAUCUUCACACACACAGAUUCCGUGCAGUCCAUCACCAUCCUUUCGGUGCAAGAAAACCCUCCUUCGUAAUUCAUCUGGUGAACCUUAGGGAUCAAGUAUGGAUCGUAGAACAACAACCUUUCUCUUUGGACAUGUGGAGCAUGGAUAGAGGAGGAGGAGACGCAUGGGAAAAAUUGUAUUCAAUUGAUCGAACAAGCCUUAUUGCAAGGGCUGAUUUGGGGGAGAGGCUUAUGCCAAUUGAAAUCUGCGGCGACGGAAAGGUGUUGAUUAAAGGUAAGAAACUAAAUGAGACAAAUCAUAGGGGAUUCAGAGAAAGGUUGCUCAAAUAUGAUCCUCGUACUAAAACUUUGCUUCUCAGCGACCGUCAAGUUUGUGCCAAUGACCCGCCCUACUUCCAAACUCGUGUCCUUGCUCCCUACUACCACUCUCUCUUCUCUUUAGAUGCACUUUAAUUCCUAAUUAGCCUUUUUUUCCUUUUUUGUAACACUCUAGAUCAUCUUCUCUUCUUUCCUAUACUUUUAUUAAAUUUUCUUGUUUCUCUUAUUACACUAUAUAUGGUCAUUUUAUUUACAUUUCAAGCUGAUGAGAAAUAGUUUGUCUCUUAUAUCUUUCUUUUGAUUAUAUUUUUUUUUCUGCAUAUGUCCCUACAUACAUCAUAUUUUUGGACGGAUCCGGAUCCAAAAAACUCAUAUACUAAGGUAACAUGUCCGUAAGACAUAUUUUAACUUGUACUCCAAGAAAGGGUGAGGUUUAGAGGAGAGAGACACUGACCUCCAUUUUUCUUUCUUUAAUUUGUAUAUUUCUCGAAUUUCAACGAAUACUUCUCUUCAUAUAAUCUCUUGUUAGAUCAUAAAAAGUCGACUUGUGGCCCUCCCCGUUUCAGAUCAUUUGGUUCAAUUGAUCGUUAAUUUGAUAUCUUUUUAUUUUUAGUAAAGUUUCAAAACGUUAAUUAUCUUUAGUUAAGUAGCGAUUACAAAAUAAUUGCAACUUCUUAAUUAAGUCUUUUAAUAGCAAUAACACUGGUACUGUAGAAGUAUUUUAGAACCAAUGUUACUUUCCUCUGUUGGAUAUAGAAUUUCCGUGAUUAGGGAAACAUUUUGAGCCCAUAAUAGAAAAAUUCAGUAAAAAUUAAAUAAUGUACAUUCCCUGUAUUACUCUGUUCUACCGUAUUUAUUUACUUUCCCCUUAUUGAUCGACGUCUUUCCUUUGUUUCAGUAAACUACGUUAUGGAGACAAUGUUACUUUCCUUUUAACAAAAAUAAUCACUUUCCCUAAUACAUAUUUUGACGGUUCUUCCUCGUAUUAUAUAAAUGAAAAGAUGGGAAUGGGAGAGUAACUUAGCUAUGAGGUCGGACGUCGCAGGCGGCAUGGAACUACCGUUGGAUGUAGAAAUCGAGAUCUUGCUGAGACUCCCAGUGCAACCUCUGCGUCGAUUAGAACUGGUUUCAAAACAAUGGAGAAGUUUGAUAAGAUGUCGAAGUUUCAUGGAACGGCACUUGGCUGAUCAGAAAUCCAAACACCGUUUCACGAUCCUUGCUAAUGUCAUGGUCAGGGACCAGUUCGCUAGUAAGAUUUCCAGGGAAACUGGAUUGUUCCGUAACUUCUGUUCAUCAGACGGUGAUCCAGGAUUUUCCUAUGUGCGGCUGCUUCAAAAUAACGACGGUGGUGCUCCUUCUCUCUCGUGCGACGGUUUCAUCUGCUGUCCGAGACCAGGUAACAAGUUUCUGUUUAUAAAUCGGGCGACUCCCCAAAUUAUCGCGAUCCAAGCCGAACAACAACCUCUCUGUCACCGUCCACUGACAUUUGAAAGUCGUGUAACUUUACCCUUCGACAGAGUACAUCUUCUUUAUCACAAGUCGCGUACGUAACAUAUACUCAUCCCUUGGUUUAUUUUUAUUCUUUUUCACAAGAAUUAAAACUGUUGGAGUUGACAUUUAAUUAUCUAACAAUAUAUGAUUCAGAAGAGUUCUAUUUUCUUCUUUUAAUAUAGCUAAGAUUAAUGUACUUGCAUGCAUGGAAUAUUAUUGUCGUAAUGUAACUUGUAUUUUUAUAUUUCUUACGUGCAGGUAAUCUUGCUCAAUUUCCUAAUCCGUGCUUUAGCUUGUUGGGGUUUGGGAGAGACAGAGUGAGCGGAGAUUACAAACUUGUUAGGUUAUUUGAACCGCCUGGGGAGAGUACGCUAUGCACAGGAUGCGAGCUUCUUUCGCUCAAGGAAAGGAAAUGGAGAUACAUUAGCCAUGUCCCUAUACCUUGCUUUAAUGGGCAACCUUCAGCGAGCGUUGACGGAUCCAUCUAUUGGUUCACCGCUUAUCUAUGGGAAAUGAAUGCAAAGUAUUCAAAAACGGCCAAGAUCAUAGCAUUUGAUCUUCACACACGCAGAUUCCGUGCAGUCCAUCACCAUCCUUUCGGUGCAAGAAAACCCUCCUUCGUGAUUCAUCUGGUGAACCUUAGGGAUCAAGUAUGGAUCGUAGAACAACAACGUAGCUCUUUGGAGAUGUGGAGCAUGGUUAGAGGAGGAGACGACGCAUGGGGAAAAAUGUAUUCAAUUGAUAUAACAAGCCUUAUUGCAAUUAGGGAUAAUUGGGGGGAGCGCCUUAUGCCAGUUGAAAUCUGCGGCGACGGAAGGGUGUUGAUUAAGGGUAAGAAAUCAUAUGAGACAAAUCAUAGGGAUUUCAGAGAAAGGUUGCUCAAAUAUGAUCCUCGUACUAAAACUUUGCUUCUCAACGACCGUCAAGUUUGUGCCAAUGACUCGCCCUACUUCCAAACUUGUGUCCUUGCUCCCUACUACCACUCUCUCUUCUCUUUAGAUGCACUUUAAUUCCUUAUUAGCCUUUUUGCUUUUUUGAUGCAACUUUAUUAGUAGCACUCUAGAUCAUCUUCUCUUCUUUCCUAUACUUUUAUUAAUUUUUCUUGUUUCUCUUAUUACACUAUAUAUGGUUAUUUUAUUUACAUUUCAAACUGAUGCGAAAUAGUUUGUCCCUUAUAUCUUUCUUUUGAUUAUAUAUUUUUAACUUUAACAAGAAAAGUCCCUACAUACAUCAUACUUUUGGACGGAUCCGGAUCCAAAAAUCUCAUAUACUAAGGUAUCAUGUCCGUAUGAUAUAUCCUGGCUGGAUUGAAAUCUCCUCUACCCAAGUUUUUCUAUAUAUAGUUCAAAUCUGACACCUAAACUUGCUAAAAGUAUAGAAAAAUAAUAUGUAAUUACAUUAACCUCUAUUAUGAUUAACACUAGCAUAUUUAGUUAGUCAGUUAGGGGAGAACCCUGUGGGUAGGUGUAAAUGCAGCUAAGUAUACAAAUCUUUCUGAAACGCACUAACAUUUUUUUCGAAUCAUUGACAAAGAUUCGUUUAUUUUUAUUUCUAUGGGAAUAUAUAUGGAUGGAAAUGGAAUCUUACAUAUAGAAUCUUAGGACAUAAUGUUUUAGGUGAGACCAAUAUAAAAAGAAAAAAAGAAAUACGUCAUGAUCCUGGUGGACAUUAUAAAAAAGAGUCGAUCGAAGAGAUCACAACAAAAGAAAAUGGAUCCACCGAAGGAAAAAAAUUCAAGAAAAUUUAAAUAAACUCGUUAAUUAUUAAUACUUUUUCUCGCUACAAUUAUAAAAUAAAAGAUGGGCUUACGUGAGCACAUGUGGCAGACACGAAGUUGAAGACAACACCAUCGACGGUACUCCUAAUUAACACCACAUCUCUUCUUCUUCUUCUUCUAAAGUCCGUUUCAAUUUGGGCUCCAUUUCUUCUAUUUCCACACUACACCAUUCAUGCCUUUGCCCUUUUCUCUAUUUUGGAGUACUAACUUAUUUUUUCACAAAAAUUUCCACAUCUCUUUUUUUAAAUUGCAUAGUGUACUUUCAUUUAUACAUCAUCAAAUAUUAUAAUUCUUCUUAAAAAGUAUACUUGAUCUUUGAUCAUGUUGAGUGUGGUGCACUUUCAUAUUUCAGCCAACAUUUUUUUUUAUAAAUUUUAAGUGACUAAAGCAAGACAAAAGGUUCCAAAAAAACUCACAUUUGUUUAGUAAAAGUAACUUGUACCAAUUUUUCAGAUGUUUUUUGAGCUUUUUUUAAAAUAAAAAUGAAAAAUAUAUAUUAAAACCACAAGUUAAAUACGAGACUUAGUUUUGUCUAAUACCGUCUACUUUACUUUUAUUUAUUUAGUUAUUAGUUUAUAAAAUUGCUCACAAGAGGGAACACUUAAUUAUAUUGUCGAAUGGGAGACACAUCUGCCACCCUUAAAAAAAUAAAUCUAAUCAACUCUGUGAGAUUUUUUCUCUGUGAGUUUAUUCAAUUUGGAUGAUAAAACGGAUUCGUAACUCUUUGUGAAUAUUAUUAAUUCUUGUCGUGUUUUCAAGAGAAUUUAUCAAUUUGAACUCAAAUGGUGAGUAAUUCCACUUAAAGACGAAAGUGGACUUAGCAGUUUUGUUUGGAGACAACAUACUACAUAGUCUCAACAAGCAGCUUCGUAAUGUGAAUCGUUAACAACAGAAUCUCAAACUAAGAAGCCUUGGGAUUAAUUGGUUCAAUUAUUUUCAUCUAUAUAUUUUUAAUAUCAUAUAUAAUAUGAUAACAUAAAUGUAUGAUGCUUUGUCAUAAUAGCAAAAGUGUUAAGCUACAAGAAUAUGCAAUAACACACAAACAAGAAAAUAAACAUCCUUUUUAUAAAUAAAAGAAUCACAGUUUUUUUUUUUGUUUUUGUCACUCAGAUACAAGUAUAAAUUAUAAAAGGAGUGGCCAAUCAAAUUUUGUUUUCGCUUUAGAAAUUUUUAUUCUUCUUUACCUCAUUGGGUAAAUGACAUAUAAAAAUAUAAAAUUGACAACAACGCUCUUAUGUAAAGCAAAACAAACAAUUGCAACUCAAUAAAAACUGAUCGCUAUCAUAAUAUAAAACUUAAUCAACCAAUCUUGUACGACGGCAAAUUAAUUAUACAGAUUUAAAUCUCUUAAUUAAUAAACCCCUUUUCAAUUUCUUUUCGUGUUUUCUAUGACAAGUUGUGGGAUCGAUGAUACCCCCCUAAUACAUAAUAAUUGAUAUGUGCUUUAAUUAACGUUCUUGCAAGCGUAAUUAGCUUAGCCUUUAACUUAUACGCACGUGAUCCUUAAUUUUCGUCUGGUUGAGUAGUUACAACACUUGUUCAUUACACUUAGGCAAGGGCGUGGAUCACAAAGCUAUUAACUUGGUCCGCCACAACGCUGAUCGAUCGUGACUCCCCCCCAUAGAUGAUCAAAAUUUAAAAACGCAUUACGAAUGUACGUAUGUUAUAACAGCUGACAAGUUUUAUGUGCGCUUUCAAUAUGAAUGAUUUUUAAAAAUUUUAAUACCCUCUAACCGACUUUUACCAGUUCCAUAUUAUAUCUCUAUAGGCGUAUACAUUUGUUGCCAUGUGCAAUGUGAUUUUAGUACGUAGACUCAGUUUCUAUAUGCAUAUAUGCUAAUUAAACUAUACAUCACACUAGAACAUAUGUGUUUCUACGAUCUAGCUAGACCUUUAUAACAAAAAAAAAUAUAAACCAUGUGCUCUCAUCCUCUUUGCAUUGGCUUAGAACUAGCCUACUAGGUAGGUAUAAGUGUAUACAAAUUAUGUGUUAAAACCGGUUAGCUUUGUUAAUUUUUUACACGUAUUAGAAUAAUUAGAUAUGUCAAACAUAUUUUGUUUGUUACAUAUGUUACAUAUUAUAUUAUAUCGUAAACUAUAAAAUUUUAGUUUUUGAUUUUGUAUUUAAACUAACUGAAUUUUGUGUAAGGUAAUUAAAAAUAAGUGUACAAAUACAUACAACGGUAAUAUUCUUAUAAAUUAUUUAGUUUUCUUAGAUAAAAAGAAAAGAAAGAAAGAAAAAAUAUUCUCCAGACAUGAUGCGAGUAAGACGUCGUCCUAACUCCUAACACUAUUACAUAUUUGCUCCAAAUUGUGAUUUCUCUCUACUCUUUUUUAGAAAAUUAUUUUCAUUCCAUUCCUCAUUUCCUUUACAUGAAAAGGUCAACAUCGGCAAUAAAAUCCAGCGCGUCGGUUUUGGAAUUCCCAUGCAAUUUAACUCACUGAUGAGAGUCAUCAGUAUGAACAAAUUUUUCAUACAUAAAAAAAAAAAAAUUGUAGUAUGAUGGGAAAAAUAAUAAUAAUAAUACGAAAAAAGCAAAAGGAAGACAUCACACGAGACAGUACUUUGUGAGGUAAGCAAACACAUACAACACCACUCCCUUCUCCCCCAUUAUUUGUCCUUUUCUUUUCCUUUCUUCAAUAAUUCUCUUCUUCUUCUUCUUCUUUUCUUCUUCUUAUUCUUUUAUUUAAAAAAAAUUCCCCUAAAUUUUACUACGAUUCUUUUUUUUUGUUUUUUUUUUUGUAUUUAAAGAAACUCCCUUUGCUUUUUGAUUCUUUCUAUAUAUAUACAAAUACAAAAUCUCCUCUUCUUCUUGAAAAAAGCUCUCUUUUACAUUUCUCUCUUUCUCUCUAGUUUGCUUUUGCGCCUAUGAUGCAAGAAUUAGGCUUAGAACGCUUCCCUAACGACGACGUCGUUCGCUUAGACCUCUUCACUCCUCCUUCUCAAUCCUCGUCUACCUCUCUCUCCAUCGACGAAGAGGAAUCUACGGAAGCCAAGAUCCGACGGCUCAUAUCCGAGCAUCCUGUCAUCAUCUUCAGUAGAUCUUCAUGUUGCAUGUGCCACGUCAUGAAAAGACUCUUGGCCACCAUCGGCGUCAUCCCCACCGUCAUCGAGCUUGAUGACCACGAGGUCUCCUCUCUCCCCACCGCUCUUGAUCAAGAAGAAUAUUCCGGCGGUGCCUCCGUCGUUGUUCCUCCGCCGUCGGUUUUUAUUGGCCGUGAGUGCAUCGGAGGUCUCGAGUCCCUCGUCGCCCUCCACCUAAGUGGUCAUCUUGUUCCUAAGCUUGUCCAAGUUGGUGCUCUUUGGGUAUGAUUGUAAUUUUCCAUCUUUUUCUUAUAAUUAUUACUUGUCCUAAUUUGAAAUAUAGGCUUUUGCAGUAUCAAAAAAAAUAAUAAAAAAAAUUAGGGUUUCUCUUCAAUCGCUCGUCAUCAAAGCGUAAUUCUGAUCAUUAUGAUCAUCAUAUCAGAUGAUCAAAAUUUAAAUAGCCAUGUAGAAAAAUGAAUUAUGAAUAAUUAAGUAAAGAUGUGUAAGUAGUGAGUUUUAUAUAAUUUUGCUUCUUCAUUAAUUGUGUGUCUCUCUCUUUUUGAUAAAGUAUGAUGAAUCCAUCAACCUCAUUAAUUAUGUGAAUUAGACUGAUUAGGACUAUACUAAACUAUGAUUUAGUUGCGUAUAUAUAUCUGCUGAUUGAAACUUAUUUAUUCGUUCUUUUUUUACACUAUUUGACUGAGAGAUAUUCCAAUCAUAAGUGUAAAAUGAUCUACCAUUUCAGUUCAAAAAUCUUGUAUAUAUACUGCAAUUGGUAAUAUUGUUUUCUUUCUUCUUCUUAUUAUGAUAUAUAGGAUUUGGAUAGUUCUUAUGAGUAGUGCGUGGUGACUUUAAUCGGGGCUUAUGAGUAAUUUAUCAUUUCUUUGGUAAAGACUUAUAACGACAUCUUUGUAAAUCAUACGUUGGUAAUAUGAAUACGUUUGUAUGGAUUUCAAAGUUAAGUUAAUUUUGCAUCUAUCUUUGUUCGUUCUAUAAAAUAAAGUAGCUAGAGAAAUGAGGGAAGAAGAUUCUACUAAUAUUAUUUGUAAGGUCUCCGAGCUCUCGGCAUCACGUUAAUUUCCUAUUCAAGGAAAUAUUCUCUCUUUAAAAAGAAAAAGAAAAAUAUAGUAUAGCAAAAGUCGGCAUAUAUAUAUACGUUGAAGAAGCAUGAAGCCAAACAAACAUCCCUGAAAAAUAACAUGGAAGUCACUAUCCCUAAGACAUACAAUUUCGUGACUGUGUCUAUUGAUCCCGUCUAGGUGCGUACGAACGUAGUCGGUAGAGUUGUAAAUUAUGCAUCGAGUUGUUGAAGUUCUCUCAAUGAAGUUUUCAUGUCUGAUGUCUUAAUCUUUCCCUUAAAACAAACAUGUCGUGUUAUAGGAAAAGGUACGUUGUGGAAUUGUAUAAUACAAGUCCUUGAAUUAAAUUUCAUAUGGUUUUUGGGAAAUAAAAGUUUAAUUAUAAGUGGGAAAAAUUUUAGACCCACUUACAAUAAUUGAGGGGGGUUUUGAUAGCGACUCUAGGCUUAAGUGGCAUCUCCAAAAACAAUCUCUCUUUUAUUUUCCUCCCCACAAUUAUUGAUUUUUCUUUUUCAAAGAUUCAGAAAAGACCAAAGAACUUCUCUUUUUUUCUUCUUCUUCUUCUUUUGGAGUUUUGGGUAACUGGAAUAGAAUGCUAUAUACCGGUCAAUUUUUUUUUUUUAGUAGGAUUAGGGAAAAUAAGGUCAGAAGUCCAAGUUCCACAUUUCAAGGGUCAAAAUUGACCUCUGUCCAAUAAAUGAUAGAUGCUGAUCUCACACUACACUGGCGACCAAGAGGGCUUCGGAUGGUUUGGUUGCUACACCAAUAACUGUCUUCUGUGCGAUGCUUAAAUGAUAGAUAUUAAUCUACCACUAGGCUACAUAAUAUGGUCACAUUUUUGUGUGUUUACAAAUACUCUGAUUCAAUCUCCUCAAAGAUUCCAAAUAUAUAACAACACAUGAUAAAUCACUAGUCUCUCUUUCACGUCAGGAGACCAAAUCAGUCCGUAGCAUAUCUACGUAAGUACAUAUAAUAUAUACAUGCGUUCAACAACUAAUCAUUUUAACGAAGACCGUCAAUUCCUUUUCAGUUCGCACUAGUCACUAGACACAAACACUAAGUUAUUCUAUUAUCCAACAAACUCCCACAUCUUUUAUUUAUUAGUACAAAAAGCUGUAACCAAUCAAUCAUACAUGCUUGCGAACAAACAUAUAUAUGAUAUAUAUGAUGCAAUGCACCAUUUUGUACCACAAAAGCCAUGCGAGUACACGUGGCCUAGUCACUUGUGACCACAAGCACACACGACUGACUAACUUAUAUAUCGGCUAUAAAGGCAGAAUUUGAGCAUGCAUUGUUAUCUUUCCGAUCUCAUCCACAGAAGUCCUACAAGUACACACAUACAUAAGGCCUGAACAUAGUCUGUGUUAUUUUAUUUGUAAUGUUUUGGGUUCUGUGAAAAGAAGAUUCUGAUGAAGAUAUGGAAGUACACAUACAAAAGGUUUAAUCUGAUAAGACCAUAUACAUACCUAUCAUAAAAUUAUUAUUUUUAACCGAAAUUAUCAUUAACUAAGGGUACGGAUAACUUUCACAAAUAAACUUUAGAAUUUCAAAUUACAAAACCAUGCUGUAAAGUGUGUAAGCAAAUAAAUUUAUACAUCCAAAGUUUUUUAGAAAAAAGAAAGAAAAGAAAAAGAAUUGCCGACCUAUACAAGAAUAAUAUGGUAGUUGUGGGAUUUAAGAUGUAUGUGUGAGAUCAUGUGACAUGUCUUCAAAAUUAAGGUUAUGCUUUUUUUUGUGCAUAUAUAUUUAAUUGACAAGUUGAUGAAUACUGAUGGCGAAGAUGACCUCAUCAAUCAUAACCAACAAUCUCUCCAUCAAAUGUUUUAAUGAUAUCCCUUUAAAUAUUUGCAAUAAAAUACAGAGAAAAAAGAAAGAAAAAAAACUGAGUGCCUCUUCACCAAAACAAAAGCUCCCACGCUUUUAAUACUUAAACACUAGCUACUGUUUUGUUUUCAGUUAAACUUCAACUGAAUAGUGUUUACUAUGGAUGACUUCUUAAUUAUGUGAUCAUUGUUACAAAAUAAGGUAACUAUGAGGUUUUUCGUCAAACAAAGAAAUGGGGUUUCUUAAACAUAAAAUGUAAGACUACAUAAAAUGUAAGACUACAUAAAAUGUAAGACUAAUAUUAUUAAAGAAAUCUUACCCCUAAGAUUUAAAGAGAAAAGUAUCUUGCCCUAACGAGUAAAUUUUAAGGGUAAAAUCCCCUUAAUAAUGUUGCACUCGGAUCGUUUUAUUGUUACAUAAGAAAAAAUAAUUAGUAUACAAAAAGUGAGAUAAUGAAUUUUGAAGAGAGAAUAAUUAAUUAGGGCUAAAAAAUUAUAAAUUAUACAAAAAAUAAAUUAAAAACCCACUCGAUUCCUUUGAAUUUGACCCCACAAGUUUCCUUCGUAUUUGGAAAAGACAUUUUCUCACAUUAGAAAAUAAUAAUUGCCAACGAUGAAGAAGACCCACCCCCAACACCCCACUCUCCUAUAUUUAAAUAUACACCAAAAGAAAUGUAAUACGUACAACUAUAUAACUUUACUUUAAUCUUAAACCAGUUGAUUGAUCUAAAAGCAUACGCUACAUUAAAAAUCAUAUCUUACAAAAAAACAAUUACAGUUUUAUUCGUGUACGAUAAGUAUUUACUGAAAAGCUCGUUAGAUUCUCUACAAUGAUCGAUCGUAACACAUUUGAUUCUUGGUUUACUUUAUGUAUCCUUUUUCAAACACUCUGUAGAAAUUUCAUCGAAAUUACCAUCUAACAUUUGAAACCCUGCACAAUGUAUGGACUAAACCACUUAAAGCUAACAAGUCUUUUGCACAAAUGAAGUUUGAAGAUUAACAAACAACACAUCUCUCCCAUAAUAAUCUCUAAUAAUCAUCUCCCUUAGGUGUUCUAUAUUUGAUCACCAUGCACUUUACCCUGUCAUGGACUUGGUCUUGACGCCAAUCUUCUUCCAAGAAACACUUGGCAUGAUUUGUUUCGUGUCCACACGAUCUUUAAAUUGAACUGCAAAGUUGAGCAACGAAUCAAGAAGUGACUCUGAUAGAUAGUGAGGCUCUAGUCCAAGUUCCAUCAGCUUUGUGUGCUUUGCAUUGUAGUAAUGUUCUUCCGCCUCCACUCUCGGGUUUGGCACCGUCAUCUUCUUCACGUCCAGCCCCAGCUUUGAACCCGCUUUAGUGACGAGGGAAGCCAGUUCAUUCACUGAAAACUGUUCUGUGAAUUGGUUGAAGACCCGGAACUCACCAGCUUUUGCUGGGUUAGCUAUAGCUAUCUCAACACAUUGAACCGUGUCCCUUAUAUCGAGGUAGCCUCUUGUCUGCAAUGAGAAGAAAGAAAAACUGCAUUAAAACCUCACCUUUUCGAUUAGAAACUAUAUUUCAAAACAACUAAAAGAGUCAUUUACCUGACCACCUUUACCGUAAACAGUAAGUGGAUGACCAACUGCAGCCUGCACACAGAACCGGUUAAGUGCUGUACCAAACACAGCAUCGUAAUCUAAUCGGUUACGGAGUUCCUCAUGCAUCUCUGUCUCAUCAGUCUUCACUCCAUACACAACUCCCUGGUUGAGAUCAGUGGCUCUAAUACCCCAAGCCUUGCAAGUAAAAGCAAUGUUGUGCGAAUCGUGAACUUUGCUAAGAUGAUAAAAGGAGCUCGCUUGCUUGGGGUAUGGCAAAGUGUCGGUUCUACCAUUGUGCGUUAUCGUUAUAUAACCUUCCUCAAUGUCGAUAUUUGGAGUACCAUACUCGCCCAUCGUCCCGAGUUUUACAAGAUGACACUCUUCUCCGAACUCUUUAAUGGCAAAGAGAACAUUAAGAGUCCCAAUCACAUUGUUGUGCUGUGUAAAGACGGCUCUGGACCGGUCUAUCAUCGAGUAAGGCGCAGAUCUCUGUUCCCCGAAGUGCACAACUGAAUCAGGCUCAAAAGACUUGAAGGACUCAGCUAAGAAUUCGAAAUCACAGAUAUCCCCAACAAAUAGCUCAAUUGAUUUCCCAGUCAAAGCCUUCCAUCUGCUGAUUCGGUCAUGAAUUGAGGCUAUAGGAGUCAAUGACUCAAGUCCAAGCUGGUGAUCGAAAAGCCGCCUUACAAGGUUGUCAACGAUGCAAACUUCGUAGUUCUUCUUGGACAAGUGGAGAGCAGUAGCCCAACCGCAGUAACCAUCUCCACCAAUGACCAUAACACGUUUUGGUUUAGACGAUGAACCAUUGGUUGAUGUUUCGGGUGGUGCUUGUUGGCUUAUAGGCACAGCAGUAGCUCGGAAAACGGAGCUUCUUCUCAGUUUCUUCUCUUGGAAGAGAAGUCCUUUGAGAGAAGAUCUUGAAAAACAUUGAGGUUUGAAGAAGGUUUGGCCUAAAAGGGAACUCUUGCUACUGCUGCUGCUGUUAAGUGAGAUAACUGAAGGGCAUGAAGCUGAAAGUAGAUGCGCCAUUUUAAAGGUUUGUUCUUGAUUCUAUCAAACACACUCACCUGCAAAAACAAAAUCAACUUAAAAAUUAAGAAAACUUGGUUCAGCAGAACAGGACAUAUCUAGGAGAGAAUGUCAUGACUAGAAAAGGAUUCUACCAAUUUCUCGAUUUUUUUAAUUUAAAAACCGAAAUUAAAUUCCAAAAACUAAAUCAAUAAAAAUCGAAACUUUCUCCUCAAACACACUAAACCAGGCUAACCAGCUCUUCCCAGGACUGAAUAUUGCAUCAAGUGAAGUAAUAAGAGGAGAUUCAGCAAAACAAUAUGCUUUAGCAAUAAGUAAACAGAGUCGCAUACAUUAAGAAAAGACGCACAUUGAUGGGCGCUAACAUGAAAUUUAGACAAAAACCCAACUGAAACUCUGUGAAAUAUUUUGAUUUCCAACCAUUUUCAGAGUUUCUUCUAGACGAAAAGUAGUCAAGUUAUAAAAGGGAGAAAUCAAAUAGUAGAUGAGAUAAGAGAGGAUGAUUGCUUACGCUUUUGGAAUCUUGUUUAGGGGCAGAGGACCGAGAGAGAGUUGGAAGAAGAAGCUUCAAGACUUUGAAUUGAAGUGAACUUACUCGUCUCUUCUCCCCUGAGACUAGACGAUGGGAUGAGUCAGAUAAUAAAUCCAUUAGAUAUGCCCAAAGCAUAUUCUUAUUUAUUCCCUUCCCGAAUUUUUCGGCCUAAUACUGUAAUUAGAGUCUGUGAUCCGAAUUUAACAAACCAAUUGAUACGCUAGCUUUUUUUAACUACACGUACGUACUUCGGUUUUUACUUUUUAGGCUCGAGAUUUCGUUCAUUGUCGCUAAGGGAUACUUUUCCCUUACUGGGCCUCUUGGCCCAAUUAUAUAUUUUUCGCUGUUUCCUGAAUUAUGAAAUAGAAAAAAAAAACAAAAUCAGUGAAAUGUAUUCGGACUAAUCAUUCAAUGGAAUUUAUUCGAACUCAGAUCAAAACACUAUUUUUGUUUUUUUUGUUAAAAUAGUCAUUGUUUUUUAAGUUGACAUUAAACUAGUCAUACUUUCUGCUGCAAUAUAUAAAAAUCACACUAACAAAGGCUUGAACAAAAAUGUGAAAAACAUCCUCCUACUACUUCUCAUCUUCUUCUAUAUUUGUUAUACAUCUGAUGGGUUAUUGUGCCUAUACUACAUAUACAGCGACCAAAACUGAUCUUGUAAAUGUAGUAUUAUGCUUUUUAAUGCGAGUGGGUGUGGGUAAAAUGACGACAUUCUAUGCUCAUCUGAUUCUCGUGAACAACUUGUGAGUUUGUAAAAAACGUACGUGCACGCACACACAAAACUACUCGCACUGAUUGACAUUCUCCGAAACUUUCUUUAUAAAAACAGAUAACUCCAUAAUAACAACUCCUAAUAGCUGGGUUGCUUUACACUAAUCACACAAAUCUACAAGUUUGAUCAUCUAAGACAGUAAUGUCUCUGUUACAGGUCUGAAAACUUCUUCCACAUCAUCCAUUUCAAAGUUCUUGGCUUCUUCAAUCUUUUUUUUUUUCUCACAUUUUGCCUCUAAAUGUUUUCAGGAUUUCUGGCAGCUCCUUCGACCAUUAUCCUCUGGAUUGACAGGUAUUCUCACUUCACUUUGCUGCUUUCUGAUAGAUAUAUAGUCUCUGUCAUCUUUUCAUAACUUAAAAACUUAAAAAGUCACUUAAAACCUUGGAGAGUUACUUCGUUUUUGCUCUUGAUUCCUUCAUUACUAUAACUUUUUGUUUUUUGUUUUAAACUGCAAAACAGAGUCGUUCACAACCAGUUGUGACUCGGGAGAGUCAGACCCGUGUCGGGAUGACGCGGCUGCUCUCACACUCAAGUUUGCAGCUAUGGCUUCGAUCCUUGUCGCCGGAGCCGCCGGGGUCUCAAUUCCCCUUGUAGGAGGAACCCUCCUCCCGUCGAACGGUGGCUUGAUGAGGGGAGCGAAAGCGUUCGCAGCAGGAGUGAUCCUCGCAACAGGGUUCGUUCACAUGCUCUCCGGCGGCUCUGAGGCUUUGUCCGACCCGUGUCUUCCGGAGUUCCCCUGGAAAAUGUUUCCUUUCCCAGAGUUCUUCGCCAUGGUCGCGGCGCUUCUCACUCUGCUCGCGGAUUUCAUGAUCACGGGAUAUUACGAGAGUAAGCAGGAGAAGAUGAUGAGCCGGUCCGUCGAGUCGCUUGGUCAACACGGUUCCAUUCUUUCGGAUCCUAGUCUUGAAUCGGGUUUACUGAGGGACGAAGAUGGAGGAGCGUUGCAUAUCGUUGGGAUGCGUGCUCACGCGGACCACCACCGUCACAGCCUCUCCAUGGGUGCCGAAGGUUUUGAGGCUCUCGCUAAGAGAAGCGCUGUUUCCGGUCAUGGACACGGCCACGGGGACGUUGGCUUGGACAGUGGUGUAAGGCACGUUGUUGUUUCUCAGGUUAAGGCUUCUUUUUUCUCUUCUUUUGAUAUUUCUGACUUUGACUUUAUUUUCAGUAAGCUCUGACUUUUGCUUUCGAGAUCUUAUUAUUGAUUUUUUUAAAAGAAAAAACAAGUAUUUGACUUUAUUUAUACACAAUACAAUGCAGCUAAAAGUGUAUCUUAAAAUAAAAUAAGUAAAUAAAUGGCAUUCUAAUAACUGUACAUGACUUUCAUGAUAAUUAACAGCUGGAGUAACAUAUAGGUAGAUUUGUUUUAAUGAAAUAACAGCUCUGUGUUAGACAAUUGUAAUGUUAAUCGAAAAUGAAAAAUCUAGUCCAUUUUAGAUAUACAAGUGCAUCGAGUGAUGGAUAUUUUGUAUUGUACCAUUACAUUAACUUAAUAAUUUAGUUUUUCCUGUUUUCUAAUAGUAUAUAUUGUCAUUUUUUUAUCGUUGAAUACAAAAUAGCGAUCGUAUUAGUCAUAAGUGUUUUUGGUUGUGGUAUUGUGACGUGUUCUUGUGUCAUAUGUGACCUAGUAAAACGAUUCCGUUUAUAAAAUAUAUUUUUAUAUUCGUUGCACAUAAAUUAAUUGAUGAUACUCUGAUUUUCUUAUAUAUAUUCCAGAUACUAGAAAUGGGAAUAGUAUCACAUUCAAUAAUAAUAGGAAUAUCACUUGGAGUGUCACAUAGCCCAUGCACCAUACGUCCGCUACUUCUCGCUCUUUCCUUCCACCAAUUCUUCGAAGGUUUCGCUCUCGGUGGUUGCGUUGCAGAGGCAAGACUAACCCCUCGUGGAUCUGCCAUGAUGGCUUUCUUCUUCGCCAUCACUACUCCCAUCGGCGUGGCCGUGGGAACGGCCAUUGCCUCAUCCUACAAUUCCUACAGUGUUGCGGCAUUGGUGGCUGAAGGAGUGCUCGACUCUCUCUCUGCGGGGAUACUUGUGUACAUGGCGCUUGUGGAUUUGAUCGCUGCUGACUUCUUGAGCAAGAAGAUGAGUAUUGAUUUCAAACUUCAAGUUGUUUCUUAUUGCUUUUUGUUUCUUGGAGCUGGGAUGAUGUCUGCUCUUGCUAUUUGGGCUUGAUCAUCAGCUUUUAACUUUUUUUUUUUUUUUGGUUAUAUCAAGUUAUUUGAUUUUCUUUUCUGGUUUUGUGUGUAUGGAAUUUAAUCCAUUUGACUUGUGACUCAUUAUGAGGUGCUGUUUUUUUUUUUUUUGUGAUUUGUUUAUUGAAGUACGUAGUAAUCAGAAGACUCAACAUGUUUAUUACUCUAUUUUUUAUGUGUUAAUAAAAAAAAUAUGGCGUUUUGACGAUGUUCACUCGGUAGCAAUUUUUCGCUGUCCAAUCUUUCUUAAACCUUUUUUUUUUCUUUUAGCUAGUAACGAAAAAAAUAGAUUGUACAUCAUGAAUCCGAAUUAGCUGGACCAGAAAACAAAAGAAAGUUUUGAAACACCCUUAACCCUAGGCCUUCAUAAGUGACCAUAUAGCUUUUCGUUUUUGUACCAAGUUCAGGGACUUGGAGUGAUCGAUCGAUCGUGCCUAUACAUCGUAUGUAAAAGUUCAUCUCUAUUCAUCUUUAUCAACGAUACCAUAUUAUAUACUAACUUUUAGACUUUAAUUUUACAUGAUCAUGUACUUAUAAUUAGUUUAAAAUACAUCAUAAAUCACCUCUCUAGCUACUAGUUUGAACUCUAAAGACGCUGUAUAAUUCAUGAAUCACAGCUUUGUGUAUUCCGUUUUUGUAAUAUAAUUAUGAAUACCCUUUAACAACAAAAGAAAGCGUUCGAACUAAAUUUAUGAAUAACAUACGUUUUCCAAAAGGAAAGGAAGUCUUGAGGUUUAUUUUUCUUGGAAGGUCAAAAAACGAGAAUAUUUCAUUAUCUGUCGAAUAAUAUAUUUAGAUGUUAGAGGACGAUGAUGGUUCCCAUGUAUGAUGAAGAAAAAGACGAACCCUAAUAUUUAUUUUUAUUUUAUUUUCAAAAGUUCUCUUUUUUUUGGAGAUAAACUCUCUGUGAAACAUAUUCCGCCACCUAGUUUAUCUUAUAUAUUCAUGUGAUCCAAAAUAAUUAUAUCAUCUUUGCCAUAUAAUAUUGAUUUGUUGCUAUAUAUCUUUCCGAUAUAUAUAUAUUUUUAUUGGUUUUCUGAUAAAGGUGACAAACAUUUUUGUCCACUGAUACCCAAUCUCUUCCACUUCAGUUCUCUUCCUUUCAAAUUUUAUCUCGAGAUGUUCUUACAGCAUUUUUACGUAAAGUACUCAUUCCUGUAAUUAUCGUAAGGAUUUGCUGGCCAGAUAUAUUUUUAGUUAGGCCAAAAACGGUAAUAUAAAUUAUAUAUUUUACGGAAUUUAUUAAUCUCGAAACGUACGUUAAUCAAAACACGGCACAAUAUAAAAGUUUUAAUUAUUGAUUAGGCUUUACAAAACUUCAUCAUGUAAUAUAUUACAGUACUAGGAUUUGAAAGCUAUAUUAAGUACACUAAAAUUCUAUUUUUAAACAUCAUAUACUCUCCUAAUAGUUUUUGUACUAGCUGCUACAAACUGUAUUAUUGCUGGUAAUUAAAAAUCUAUAUAGUUUGGAGGAAAAUGCUAAACCAAUAAACAAAAUAAUUAAGAGAUAAUUAAAAAAAAAAAAAAAAACAAAAGAUUAUCACAAUAUUGUACGAGUGAUUAGAUGCAAAACACGUGGAAUAGGUACAAAAUACAAAUUGGCUCAAUGCUUUUCACCAACCCCAUCUCGAGCUUCACCAUUAACCACAGAGAGCCACGCGAUUUUCUGAUUUUCUUACAAAAGAAAGAAAAAAGAGCAAAGAAUAUCCCGAAAAUUUUCGACUAUAUAAUAAACACACUUUAUUUUGGUCUAAGGACGUCGUCAUAUACAUUCGUUCAUUCGCAUUUUUCUUUUUACAACGGUCCGUGAGUGAGAGUGUGUGUGUGUGUAUUAUAUACUCUCUCUAUCUCUAUCUCAUCUCAUCUCUCAGAUUCCCUCCACCAUCCAUGGCUACGAUAUACUAAAAAAGCAAGACAUAUCUAUCCUUCAUCUUCCUCAACCUCACACAUCUAAUCUACUCUUUCGCUCUGCGUUUUUAUUUUUUAAAGUUUUCUGAGUGCAACCCAGUCAUGGAGCGCGCAAGGAGACUUGCUUACCGAGGCAUCGUCAAGCGUCUCGUCAACGAGGCUAAACGACACCGCAACCCCGAAACUCCCCACCUUGUUGUUCCCCACGCUCCGGCGAGGUAUGUCUCUUCUCUUUCCCCUUUCGUCUCCACCCAUCGAUCCCCCGCGUCGUUCGGGAGGCACCACUCCCACCAGCAGACGCGUCCCAUCUCCGUCGAGGCUCUUCAACCUGGCGACACCUUCCCACGUCGUCACAACUCGGCAACACCAGAUGAGCAGAGCCAUAUGGCCAAGUUCUGUGGCUUUGAUCAUAUCGAUUCACUCGUCGACGCUACGGUGCCCAAAUCUAUCCGAUUAGACUCCAUGAAGUUCUCCAAAUUCGACGGAGGUCUAACCGAGAGUCAAAUGAUCGAGCACAUGGUUGAUUUGGCUUCCAAGAACAAGAUUUUCAAAUCCUUUAUUGGGAUGGGUUACUACAACACGUAUGUCCCUCCUGUGAUUCUCCGUAACAUUAUGGAGAACCCAGCUUGGUACACUCAGUACACUCCUUAUCAAGCUGAGAUCUCUCAGGGUCGUCUCGAAUCGCUGCUCAAUUUCCAGACGGUCAUCACCGACCUCACGGGGCUUCCCAUGUCGAACGCUUCGCUCCUCGAUGAAGGGACUGCGGCUGCCGAGGCUAUGGCCAUGUGUAACAACAUUCAAAAGGGUAAAAAGAAGACCUUUCUCAUUGCUAGUAACUGUCACCCUCAGACUAUUGAUAUCUGCAAGACUAGAGCCGGUGGGUUUGAUCUCAAAGUUCUCUCCGCUGAUCUCAAGGAUAUAGAUUACAGCUCUGGUGAUGUUUGUGGGGUUCUUGUCCAGUACCCUGGAACUGAAGGUGAGGUCUUGGAUUACGCUGAGUUUGUCAAGACUGCUCAUGCUAAUGGUGUUAAGGUUGUGAUGGCUACGGAUUUGCUGGCUUUGACUAUGUUGAAACCCCCUGGGGAAUUGGGGGCCGAUAUUGUGGUUGGUUCCGCUCAAAGGUUUGGUGUUCCCAUGGGUUAUGGUGGUCCUCAUGCCGCGUUCUUGGCUACUUCACAAGAGUAUAAGAGAAUGAUGCCAGGGAGGAUUAUCGGUGUUAGUGUAGAUUCUUCAGGAAAGCAAGCUCUGCGUAUGGCUAUGCAGACUAGAGAACAGCAUAUUAGGAGGGACAAAGCCACUAGCAACAUCUGUACUGCUCAAGUAAGUAAUCACUUCUUACUAUCUGAUUACUUAGUUCGCGCUGAUAAUUAGAUGAUAUAUUAUAUUGAUUCAUGCUGAUGAGAACUUCAUCUUUUCCUCUUACUCUGACAUUUUGUGUAUGUUUUUUCCUUUUCUUACAGGCGUUGCUUGCCAACAUGGCUGCCAUGUAUGCUGUUUACCAUGGACCUGCAGGUCUAAAAUCUAUUGCCCAACGUGUUCAUGGUCUUGCUGGCGUCUUUGCCUUAGGGUUGAAAAAGCUUGGGGUUGCAGAAGUCCAAGAACUUCCCUUCUUUGACACGGUAAAAAUUAAGUGUUCGGAUGCACAUGCUGUUGCUGAUGCAGCUGCUAAAAGUGAAAUUAAUCUGCGUGUUGUGGACUCAAACACUGUGAGUCUCCUUUGCUUUGGCCUUUAAAGGUUCUUACUAGUAUAGCAGCAUAAAGACCUGAAUAUUUGGAUAUGAUUACCUCAUUCAGAUUACUGCUUCUUUUGACGAAACAACCACCUUGGAUGAUGUCGAUAAACUUUUCAAAGUUUUUGCUUCUGGCAAGCCUGUAAGUUUUUUUGCUAAUUCUUCUUUUUGUUGUUUACUUAUCAGUUCUGGACAUCUUGCAUAAAAUUUGAUUAUCUCCAAUCUGCUUCAGGUUCCAUUCACUGCUGAAUCUCUAGCACCCGAAGUUCAGAAUGCCAUUCCUUCUAGCUUAACAAGAGAGAGCCCUUAUCUUACCCACCCAAUCUUCAACAUGUACUGUUCUUUUCUUUAAAUCUUGAGUGGUUUAUUGCUUGUGGAUUAUCAGUUUUUCAUCUUUAUUUUCAAUUUUGACAAUGUGAUUAGGUACCACACAGAGCAUGAGUUGCUUAGGUACAUUCACAAGUUACAGAAUAAGGAUCUAUCACUGUGCCACAGCAUGAUUCCAUUGGGAUCUUGUACGAUGAAACUAAAUGCGACAACUGAAAUGAUGCCAGUCUCAUGGCCAAGUUUCACCGACAUUCACCCUUUUGCUCCUGUUGAACAAGCACAAGGAUAUCACGUGAGUCACUUUCUUGAUUCAUCUGAGGUUUGAUCUAUGAAAUUGAAAAGAUGAACUGAUUUCUUUUCUUUUCUACAUUUAUAUAGGAAAUGUUCGAAAAUUUGGGUGAUCUCUUAUGUACAAUCACUGGCUUUGACUCUUUCUCAUUGCAACCUAAUGCUGGUGCUGCUGGUGAGUAUACCGGGCUUAUGGUUAUCCGCGCAUAUCACAUGGUAAACCUUAUAUCCUAAAUUUGAAUCUAGUUUUCUUACCUUUAUUUUGGUUUAAUUGAUAUAAACUGAAAAGUGAAUGAAUGAAUGCAUUAUUCAGUCAAGAGGAGAUCAUCACCGUAAUGUGUGUAUCAUACCUGUCUCUGCACACGGUACAAACCCUGCAAGUGCUGCUAUGACCGGGAUGAAAAUUAUUACGGUUGGAACUGAUGCUAAGGGAAACAUCAACAUUGAGGAGGUGAGAAAAGCUGCAGAAGCCAACAAAGACAACUUAGCCGCUCUUAUGGUUACAUACCCUUCAACUCAUGGAGUCUAUGAAGAGGGUAUCGACGAGAUUUGCAACAUAAUACACGAAUUUGGAGGUCAAGUGUACAUGGAUGGUGCCAACAUGAAUGCACAGGUGAAAUAUCUUAAUAAAACAGUAAACACAGGUGAGAUCUCAAGGUUUUGUCUUAUUUGAAAGAGCAUGGUGUUGGGUUUGUGUAGGUUGGCUUGACAAGUCCCGGUUUUAUUGGAGCCGAUGUGUGUCAUCUCAAUCUCCACAAGACCUUCUGUAUUCCUCAUGGAGGUGGUGGUCCUGGUAUGGGUCCCAUUGGUGUGAAGAAACAUUUGGCACCAUUUCUUCCUUCUCACCCCGUGGUUAGUCUUUGAUCCUUCAUCACUGUAAUGCAUCUUGGUUAAUGAUCAUUAAAUUUCUUAUUGUUGGGUUUCCUCCAUUGCCAUGUAAAAAGAUAUCUACUGGUGGUUUCCCACAACCGGAGAAGACAGAACCGUUGGGUACAAUAGCCGCUGCACCAUGGGGAUCUGCGCUUAUCUUGCCAAUAUCUUAUACUUACAUUGCCAUGAUGGGAUCUGGUGGACUCACUGAUGCCUCCAAGAUUGCAAUUUUGAAUGCCAAUUACAUGGCAAAGCGUCUAGAGGUAGUAGAGCAUCUCUGUCUUCUUUUUGUCUAUUCGUUUGAGAAUGAAGAAAGUCUAAUUUUCCUAUUGAUUUGUUUAUACAGAAACACUACCCAGUUCUUUUCCGUGGUGCUAAUGGAACAGUAGCACACGAAUUCAUCAUAGACUUGAGAGCCUUCAAGGUAUUAAAAUGUUGUGAAUUGAAUGAAAUGAAAAUAUUUUAUUUUGGGGAUGCAUAUAUCCAUAACCACUUCAAAUAUGGAUUUGUAGAACACUGCUGGAAUAGAAGCAGAAGAUGUGGCGAAACGGCUAAUGGACUAUGGGUUCCAUGCACCUACGAUGUCCUGGCCUGUCCCUGGAACUCUUAUGAUUGAGCCAACCGAGAGUGAAAGCAAGGUAUAUAUUAAUAUGCAAAUAUUACACUGACUCUUUAUUUCUCUCAAUGUAUUUACUCGAUGGAACUGAUGAUAUUUGUUUGCAGGCGGAGCUAGACAGGUUCUGCGAUGCUCUCAUUUCAAUUAGGGAAGAAAUUGCACAGAUUGAGAAAGGAAAUGCGGAUGUUCAGAACAACGUUCUCAAGGUAAAUACGAAAACAAAGACUCAUCUUAUUAUUGGAGAAGUUGAGAUAAAGACUUGGUUGUUUGUGUUCUCAGGGUGCUCCACAUCCUCAAUCAGUGCUAAUGGCAGACACAUGGAACAAGCCAUAUUCCCGAGAGUACGCAGCUUUCCCUGCCCCAUGGCUCCGGUCCUCAAAGUUCUGGCCCAUCACAAGUAUAAGACCAUCCGAGAUAGAUUACUCAUAUGGUUUUUUUUUGGUGUAGCUUUUGAUUUCUGACAAAUUAUUGAAAUGUGGAACAGGUCGAGUGGACAAUGUGUAUGGAGACAGGAAACUGGUGAGCACUCUCCUCGCGGAGGAAGAACAGGUCGCAGCUGCAGUAUCUGCUUGAGUACAGCUCUCCCUCGAUGCAGAAACUUGUGUUAUGUGUCCCACUUUCUCACACCAUUCUCUCUUCUCUUUCACAUUCUGUCCAUAGUGUUCUCAUUAUACGCUUUCUAUCUCUCUUACUCUCUUAAUCUAAUUCGAAUACAUCUAUAUAUUUUCCACAAAUCACCUAAACAAACAUAUAUACUGUCAAAAAGUUGUAGAAAGAUAAAACCAAAAAAUCUCAACAGUUAACAAAGAUUAAGAAUCUAGGAAACUCAACUGAACCUUGAUUGUUGUCCCAUGCGUUUUGAAAAGAUUUACAAUUUUGUAUAAAUCCCAUCCAGCCACAAAUCCUGUUUAGGGCUGGUUGUCUCAAAUACUGUUCCAUGAACAGGUCACACUGCUGGCUGGUUCAGUACGGCUGUACAAAGAUUGUUUUCUUGCAAUUUACUCAUAACUCUUAGUAAAUGGUUUAAAAAACAAACUUCGGUAGAUCAAGACUUAAAAACAACAUGGCAUAGACACAAGAUAAAUAGAAAAAAAUGCUUCAUUACUUUCAAUGCAACAGUUUACACUACACUAUUUAAAACAUAACUAAAUUCUUCACAAUAUUACUUACAGCUAAUAAUCACCAACUAAUUUUGAUAAAAGACAAUACGGAAAACAAGUUUAGUACGUAAAACCAAGCAGAAGCUGCAGAUGUAAUAUAACCGGUGCUCCAUGGACAUGGUUCUGCCUCAGUCUUCAACCUCAGUGUUGAAAACAAAACUUGGGAAUGCUGUCGUCACAUCCCUUCAAAUUCAAACAAAAUAUUGUUAAUCAAAAAGUAAAGGGACAAUCUUAAAUGAAAGAAAGAAUCUAACAAAGAGAGAUGAUUUGGUACUUUAGGUAAGGAAGAGUCAUAUUCUUCAACAAGCUGGGAUGCUUAAGCACAUACACCUUCCAUUCAUCCUUGCUAAUUUUACCGUCUUUGUCGAAAUCUGCAUCAGCAAAUGUCUAGCAAAAAGACAAAGAAGAGAAACCAAAAAAAAAAAAAAGCAAUCUGCUAACUGAAUUUACCAGAAUGUAUGAUUCAUUUACUAAUAGAGAGGAGGAUUCCAAAAACUCACUUUAUCAAUAAUCAUGGUCAGAAGUUCAUCGGAUAGUAUCAUAUCAGAUUCCAUCAAAAUAGCAGCCACCAUUUGUUGCACCUAACAUGUCACAACAAAUUCAAUUUGUUUAUGAAGCUCAAAAGACAGGUUACAACUUGCAAUAGCAGAUUAUCAAUUACCUCUUCUCUCUCAAUAAAUCCGGUCUGUCUGAGAUCAUAGAGCCUAAACGCAACUGCCAGAAAUAAGAACAUAUGCUUAAGAUUCAUCCAUGAGUUAUAUAUUAUGAUAACCCUUUGCUAUGUAUUGUUAGUAGGACAUUGAAUAUUGAUCCUUACAGUCGAUCUUCUCCUCAAUUGGUGCGUAGGGAUGAAAGACACUGAGUGCAUGGAUGAAUUCCUCAAACUCAAUAACCCCAUUCUUCUUUUCAUCGAACAAAUCAAAAACCUGCAAAGCAAUAACCAAUAUAUUACCAUAACAUUCAAUCUCAACAAGUCCAAGAAGCCAUGAUCAGUCUCUCUAAAGAACACACUCACCCUAUCAAGAAAGAGGUUCUCACCAUAUGGAGCUUGAAACAGCGCCAGUCGAAGCUCUUCCUAAAAACCAGGAAUAUUAAUAUCUUUAUAUAAUCAUAUCAUCGCAUCAGUUAAAACUUAAAGAGCAGACUUUGAAAGCAAUCAAUCACACAUGACACAUAUAAGCUGAUCAUCAAGCAUUGGCAAAUUCAUAAGCUAUACAUCUGAUCUAAGAGACUUUCACAAGUCGAAGAAGAAGAAAAAACAGACCUUGUGAAUCAAACCGUCAUCAAUAAUAGAACAGCUGAGUUUCUUGAACAGCUCAUACAAAGCUUCAACUUCAUUGACUGAAACUGCAGAGUGGUCAAAACAAAAGGAACAAACUUUCACACUAAUCAAACACCAAAACAGAGAAAUUCAAAACAACCCAUUGAUCCAAAAAUGUAGACAAAAUGUACUAGCACACUGAACAUGGAAUGAAAGAGAGAGAGAGAGAUAAAUAAAGAAGAAAAACAAACAUCGAGAUUCACGGGCAAGACGAUUCAGAUCCGCGUGCUGGCAUGUCCGAGGGGAAGAGCCACGGCAGUCGAAGCAUUGUGAGACGGAGGAAAUGAGGAGAUCAAUAAUGGCAAACAGAGGUAUGAAGACGGCGCAGAUUUGCUCCCCAACAGUCAGAGAGCUUGAUCUUCCCUGUAUUUACCGAACAUACCCAAAAAACUUAUCAGAGAAGAAAGGAGGAAAAAGAAAAUACAAAAUGUUAGUUUUUUUGUUUCUUUGAAAGAGAGGAGAUUACAGAGGAAACUUGAGGCCAGUCCAUGACUCUCUCAAUUCAAAGUCAAUCCCCUCAUCGAUGAAAUAAUGGAGUCGAAACCUGAAUCACAUCUCAAAUUUCCCCAACACAUUAU
rnacentral:lncRNA from 1 species